AUCUAUGGCCAUACCAACCUGAACACACCCGAUCUCAUCCGAUCUUGGAGGCUAAGCAGGGUCAGGUCUGGUUAAUACUUGGAUGGGAGAAAUACUACAACCAAGCUUUUGGUUCCAGUGGUC
rnacentral:rRNA from 1 species